AUUGAACGCUGGCGGCAGGCCUAACACAUGCAAGUCGAACGGUAACAGGAAACAGCUUGCUGAUUCGCAGACGAGUGGAGGACGGGUGUGUAAUGUCUGGGAAACGGCCUGAUGGAGGGGGAUAACUACUGGAAACGGUAGCUAAUACCGCAUAACGUCGCAAGACCAAAGAGGGGGACCCUCGGGCCUCUUGCCAUCGGAUGUGCCCAGAUGGGAUUAGCUUGUUGGUGGGGUAACGGCUCACAAAGGCGACGAUCCCUAGCUGGUCUGAGAGGAUGACCAGCCACACUGGAACUGAGACACGGUCCAGACUCCUACGGGAGGCAGCAGUGGGGAAUAUUGCACAAUGGGCGCAAGCCUGAUGCAGACAUGCCGCGUGUAUGAAGAAGGCCUUCGGGUUGUAAAGUACUUUCAGCGGGGAGGAAGGUAGUAAAGUUAAUACCUUUGCUAAUUGACGUUACCCGCAGAAGAAGCACCGGCUAACUCCGUG
rnacentral:rRNA from 1 species